rnacentral:rRNA from 1 species
GUCUAUGGCCAUGCUACCCUGAACAAGCCCGAUAUCUGAUCUUGGAAGCUAAGCAGGGUCAGGCCUAGAUAGUACUUGGAUGAGAGACCACACAGGAAGACCAGACGCUAUAGGUA